rnacentral:rRNA from 1 species
GACGAACGCUGGCGGCGUGCCUAAUACAUGCAAGUAGAACGCUGAAGAGAGGAGCUUGCUCUUCUUGGAUGAGUUGCGAACGGGUGAGUAACGCGUAGGUAACCUGCCUUGUAGCGGGGGAUAACUAUUGGAAACGAUAGCUAAUACCGCAUAACAAUGGAUGACACAUGUCAUUUAUUUGAAAGGGGCAAUUGCUCCACUACAAGAUGGACCUGCGUUGUAUUAGCUAGUAGGUGAGGUAACGGCUCACCUAGGCGACGAUACAUAGCCGACCUGAGAGGGGGAUCGGCCACACUGGGACGGAGACACGGCCCAGACGCCUACGGGAGGCAGCAGGAGGGAAUCUUCGGCAAGGGGGGCAACCCUGACCGAGCAACGCCGCGUGAGUGAAGAAGGUUGUCGGAUCGUAAAGCUCGGUUGUAAGUCAAGAACGAGUGUGAGAGUGGAAAGUUCACACUGUGACGGUAGCUUACCAGAAAGAGACGGCUAACUACGUG